rnacentral:ncRNA from 1 species
UGGUCCUAGCCUUGCGAUCAGUUAAUACUUAAUUUACACAUGCAAGUCUCCGCACCCCCGUGAAAACGCCCUUAAACUCCUCCCCCCUCCUGGGGGUAAGGGGCUGGUAUCAGGCACAACCCUUUAGCCCAAGACACCUAGCUACGCCACACCCACACGGGAACUCAGCAGUGAUUAACAUUGAGCAUGAGCGACAGCUUGACUCAGUUAAAGUAAAAAGAGCCGGCAAAUCUGGUGCCAGCCGCCGCGGUUACACCACGUGACUCAAACUGAUUACUUUCGGCGUAAAGCGUGGUUAAAGUUCCCCAAAAUUAUAGCUAAACUAAAAUUAAGCUGUGACACGCUUAUGCCUAGGAAAACCAAAAACGAAAGUUGCUGUAACUAAAACAACUUGAACCCACGACAGUUGGGGAACAAACUGGGAUUAGAUACCCCACUAUGCCCAACCGUAAACUUUAACUUACACCCACAUCGCCCGGGAACUACGAGCAGAGCUUAAAACCCAAAGGACUUGACGGUACCCCACAUCCACCUAGAGGAGCCUGUCCUAUAAUUGAUAAUCCCCGUUUGACCUCACCAUUUUUAGCCUAUCAACCUGUAUACCUCCGUCGUCAGCUUACCGCGUGAGCGACUACUAGUGAGCUUAAUGCCCGUUCGCCAAUACGUCAGGUCAAGGUGCAGUAAAUAAAAUGGGAAGAGAUGGGCUACACUCUCUAGAAUAGAAGACACGAAAGACUUUAUGAAACCCAGUCAGAAGGCGGAUUUAGUAGUAAGGGGGGACAAGAGAGCCCCCCUUAACAUGGCACUGGGGUGUGUACACACCGCCCGUCACCCUCUUCAAAGCCCACAAGAAGUCCAUAACACACCUCAGCACCAUAGAAGAGGCAAGUCGUAA